AUUGAACGCUGGCGGAAUGCUUUACACAUGCAAGUCGAGCGGCAGCGCGGGGCAUCCUGGCGGCGAGCGGCGAACGGGUGAGUAAUGCAUCGGAACGUGUCCAUGUCGUGGGGGAUAGCCCGGCGAAAGCCGGAUUAAUACCGCAUACGCCCGAGAGGGGAAAGUGGGGGACCGCAAGGCCUCACGCGAUUGGUUCGGCCGAUGUCGGAGUAGCUAGUUGGCGGGGUAAAGGCCCACCAAGGCGAUGCUCGGUAGCUGGCCUGAGAGGAUGAUCAGCCACACUGGGACUGAGAAACGGGCCAGACUCAUACGGGAGGCAGCAGUGGGGAAUUUUGGACAAUGGGCGCAAGCCUGAUCCGGCCAUGCCGCGUGCAGGAUGAAGGCCUUCGGGUUGUAAACUGCUUUUGUACGGAACGAAAAGGUUUGGCCUAAUACGCUGAACUCAUGACGGUACCGUAAGAAUAAGCACCGGCUAACUACGUGCCAGCCGCCGCCGUAA
rnacentral:rRNA from 1 species